rnacentral:rRNA from 1 species
AACGAACGCUGGCGGCGCGCCUAAUACAUGCAAGUCGAGCGAGAAGACGUAGCAAUACGUUUGUAAAGCGGCGAACGGGUGAGGAAUACAUGGGUAACCUACCCUCGAGUGGGGAAUAACUAGCCGAAAGGUUAGCUAAUACCGCGUACGCUCCUUGGACUUCGGUUCAGGGAGGAAAGCGAUACCGUGGGUAUCGCGCUCUUGGAUGGGCUCAUGUCCUAUCAGCUUGUUGGUGAGGUAACGGCUCACCAAGGCUUCGACGGGUAGCUGGUCUGAGAGGACGAUCAGCCACACUGGCACUGCGACACGGGCCAGACUCCUACGGGAGGCAGCAGUAAGGAAUAUUGCGCAAUGGGCGAAAGCCUGACGCAGCGACGCCGCGUGGGGGAUGAAGGUCUUCGGAUUGUAAACCCCUUUCGGGAGGGAAGAUGGAACGAGCAAUCGUUCGGACGGUACC